AAUUUAUUGCAGACCUCACUUACAUGGAGUGGAAGGGGCCAGACUAACACAGUGGGGAAAUACACUGAAGAAAUCCUCAGUACAUAGGGGAGGAAGAAAAACGAUGGACAAGGAAACAGAAAUUGAAUCUACUACUCUGAAAUGAAGGCCUGCAGAAUGACUCUGUCAGUCAUGUGUAGCAAGGAAGGGAAACACAACCUAACUGCUCCAUGGAAACAGAGGUACGUGUGUUAUGAUUCAAAAUGCAAUUUGCAUCUGCUCUUCAGAUUGUAAGGUGGGCCACGCUAAUUGCUGUCACCUCAGCCCCUCCACAGCAGGAAGCAGGUUUAUGAGCAUACCCUGUGUUUCACAUUAUACUCUUCUGGAUGAAGUCAGUCACAGAUCAAAGGUAACCUCUAACUCAGCCCCAGUAAUAAUGCAACAGAAAGGUGCAGAAAUCAACUAUGCAACUUCACUGGGAUCCUUCAGAUAAAAUGAUUAAAUUUACAUCACUCAUUUGGUACGAGAGUCAUUUUA